UGGGGAAUAUUGGACAAUGGGGGAAACCCUGAUCCAGCGAUGCCGCGUGAGUGAAGAAGGCCUUCGGGUCGUAAAGCUCUUUAGGUUGGGAAGAAGGGUAUGAGGUGAAUAGCCUUGUACUUUGACGGUACCGACAGAAUAAGCACCGGCAAACUCUGUGCCAGCAGCCGCGGUAAUACAGAGGGUGCUAGCGUUAAUCGGAAUUACUGGGCGUAAAGGGCGCGUAGGCGGUAAGAUAUGUGUGGUGUGAAAGCCCUGGGCUUAACCUAGGAAGUGCAUCGCAAACUGUCUUGCUGGAGUAUAUGAGAGGGUGGCGGAAUUUCCGGUGUAGCGGUGAAAUGCGUAGAGAUCGGAAGGAACGUCGAUGGCGAAGGCAGCCACCUGGCAUAAUACUGACGCUGAGGCGCGAAAGCGUGGGGAGCGAACAGG
rnacentral:rRNA from 1 species